CGGACUCUAUAAACCCCACAGACCUACUGCACUUUAUCAGACGCCUGCUAGCGGACCUACUACCACCUAAACAGGCAAAAGCAGUACGACUAGAUGGCAUGUUCCGCCUACCAAAGCCUGCAACAGCGCCGACCACGGCACACACCGACCUAAUACUCCGCUUUCAGACCUUGCAGGACAGAACCCUACUAAUGGCGGCUGCACGCUGGAGAACACCACUGUCAUUUGAGGGAGCUGUCCAUAUUCCGGGACCUGACCAAAAGCACUAUGGGGUGGCGCAAGGCCAUGCAACCCCUGCUACAACACCUCAGAAAUAAGAAUAUCCAGUACAAAUGGGGGUCUCCAAAUAUGAUCACCUUUACCCAUCAAGACA